AAUGGAGCAGCCAGAGUUAUGGAGUCGGAAAUUUUCACAUUUCAAAGAGCCAAUUUGAUGAGGACUGGAGUUGGAGUAUACAUAAACCUUAUCAACGGCAUAGAAAAAAAUUUAUUCUAAAUAUUGGGAACAUUCAUAGGGCUGGUCCACUAUGAAGCACUGUUAUCUAAGGGAUUAUUCUAGAAGGCGAGAGAUUCAAUAUUCAGAUAUUACUACUUACGAUGACUAAUUGGUCAGUGAUCUGGUUCUUGCGAUGAGGAACAUCCCAAUAAUAACUUGUAGGAAGAACCCAAAAGGAAUACAAACUGUGAACAGGAAUAUUGGAAAGUAAAACAAAGAAAUAAGGAGACCAGUUUAUUGAGACAUUAUUACAUUAUGUGAGAUAUAAUGGAUAUAUAAUGGAAGACUCUUCGGUGACCUGCACGGACGUCUGGAUUCGGUGACCUGCACGAACGUCUGGACCCU